CAGCAGCCGCGGGAAUACGUAGGGUGCAAGCGUUAAUCGGAAUUACUGGGCGUAAAGCGUGCGCAGGCGGUUAUAUAAGUCAGAUGUGAAAUCCCCGGGCUCAACCUGGGAACUGCAUUUGAGACUGUAUGGCUAGAGUGUGUCAGAGGGGGGUAGAAUUCCACAUGUAGCAGUGAAAUGCGUAGAUAUGUGGAGGAAUACCGAUGGCGAAGGCAGCCCCCUGGGAUAACACUGACGCUGAGGAGCGAAAGCGUGGGGAGCGAACAGGAUUAGAUACCCGUGUAGUCCCUGUCUCUUAUAC
rnacentral:rRNA from 1 species